UUAAGUAUUUAUACAUUGCUACAGAAACCUAACCUAUUAAUUCUUUCCAUUUUUUUUUCUUUUCUCCUGACGCUAUCUCCUUGUUCUCGCUGCAAUCGUGUCGACGCGACGAGGUUGAGCUCGCCGGCGUCGCUCACCCCACGCCGGCUAAGCCUCCCAUCCUCAUCACCCAUUGUUGCCCUCACAUUCCCUUCACAGCUUUUUUGAUCUGAUUUGAGUGCCAACCAUACAGCCUCAUCGUCGUCUCUACCAACUCACCGAUGCAGCCUUCUUCUAGUGGAUCGCCUCACGAGCAGUGGAGAUUUGGCUUGGGCUCGAGUUCACCUACGAAUCUUCCUUCUCCAUUAGAUCCGAGUCGCGUGAGCUCUCUUUUCUAUCUCUGAUUUAGGGCUUUCGGCGGCUGGAUUUGAGAAAUUUUGCUGCUGGAUCUGAGCCUUGUCACCCUUACCAACCACCACCUACUUUUGCCAACAACACCAGCAGAGAUCAUACAGGAGUUCCAGAAAAUUCUGGUCCUGGAUCUGGGACGAGUUAGGCACCGUGGGAUUUUUCUAAUACGAUUUCCUUUUCGAGGCGGGUACCUUUGACUUAUCUUCUUUUGAUAUGGUUGAAGCCGUUAGGAGGUUCCAGCUACUAGUCCCCUCUCCAUGUCGUGAUGGUUUCUAUGUUUGAUCUUUUGUUUCCUUGCUAUGUGACCAACAAACUGGUGAUGUGUAGUUCUUAUACCCGUGGAUUCUUAUAUCGAGUUUUGGGUAUGCUGCCCUCGUUUUCCGCUGCGAAGGUUUUCUAGGUGGGUUGGUUUUUCCUCAUUGUAGUGGAGUAGGUAUUAUAUAUAUCUGCGAUGUUUUAAAUAUCGUUGCGUUCCUUUCGUUUUAUGUUGUUAGCCAGAGGCUAUAUUUAUGAAACUGCGUGAUUGUGAUUUGAUGUAUAGUCAACGGGAGGCUGUACUAAUAUAAACUAC